UACAGAGGGUGCGAGCGUUGUCCGGAAUCACUGGGCGUAAAGGGCGCGUAGGCGGCUUGAUAAGGUUGCGGUGAAAGCCCGGGGCUCAACCCCGGGUCGGCCGUGGCAACUGUCGAGCUGGAGCACUGUAGAGGCAGGUGGAAUUCCGGGUGUAGCGGUGGAAUGCGUAGAGAUCCGGAAGAACACCGGUGGCGAAGGCGGCCUGCUGGGCAGUGGCUGACGCUGAGGCGCGACAGCGUGGGGAUCAAACAGG
rnacentral:rRNA from 1 species